CUUUGCGGCACAUUAAGAGUCUUGACAUUAGGCCAUCAUUCAUUUCCUCUUUCAUUCCGCCAACAUUGAUUCCGUGUCAGGCAUGUGGGAGACGGCGCAGACACAAAGGCAAACAAUCCCAAACACAGGCUUUGCCCUCCUUGUACGUUGAGACAAAGGAAGCAGAAAUGAGCCUGGGAUCACAGUCUGCGCUGAGCAGCAUGGAGCAAACAGGGCGUCCCCUUCUCAGUGACAGAGGGACUUGGGCUGACCAACCGUCUUGGCUUCCCUGGGACUGUCCCAGCUCAGCACUGAAAAUCUCAUGCCGAUGAAAACCCCCGCAGGCCUGGGCAGAUGGGAACCUUGGUCACUCUUGCAGAAACUUGAGUCAGACAACAGAGCCGCUGAGUACACCCCAACACAGAGGAGCCAGCGCUCACCGAGAGAUUUGCCAAGUGGAGUCCUUUUGAGACAUCCAAAUUUCACUGUCUUCAACUUAUUAAUGUGAAACAAAGAAUAACGUAUAUGUGUGUGUAAACACGAAUAGUAACAGCUUAUAUUUGUAAACAAUGUGCCGUGCGCCCAGCACUACAUUAAGCAGUCUCCAUGCAGCACCUCCAUUAAUCCUGGGGAGCACUGUACCCACUUCAAGAGGCCUUUAGAAGAGCAAGUAACAAAAACUGGUGGAAAAAAAGCACACAUUCAACAGGAAGCAACAUCUAGAGACCUUUCUGCCUUCCAGGAUACAAAAAGAAAACAGUUCAUAAACAACUUACAUCUAAACCAGUAAUGUUGUCUCCCUGGCUCAUAGGAGCUGAAGAAGAAUUCCAGUUACUGUAGUAAGAAUAUAAGGAUGUGGACUGGUUUGAGGAUGCUUGAGGCAUGACUAUAGCAAGUACUGCGCAUACAUAUGUGGACAUCGUAAGACACACUCUCUGCUUCCCCAGGCGAAAUCUGAAUUCCAUGAUCUACACACAGAUGACACCAAAAUCGGAACAGCAAUGUCCACCCUUCUCCCGAGCCCUAGGUCGGUGCCUCUGUCCACCUGUGUCUCCUGAAACUUCAACACAGACUUCAAAUGGAGUGGCAGAAAACCAGAUUCCUUAGGGAAAGGAAGGUCUCCCAGACGGCAGGAGCGGCAGGCCUUAGGGGCAGCCGCAGGGGCUCGGGAGUCUGAACAUACCCGGUUUGAAUUCAGACUCUGGCACGCCCCAUGCGAUCAUAACAUAGUGCUGCACGUCUCAAGCCACCUAUAAAAACGGGGACAAUAACAAUAUCUGCCUCGGGGUUAAUGGUGAGGACUGACUGUGUGUGUCUCGCUCAGGACCAGGAGCAACAAAUGUUGGCUUCUUCCCCGGCAAAGACCCGCGCUUUCUCCUGGGCUCCGGGUUCCCGGGGUGGGGGUGGGCGCAGUCCCGAGGGCCCCAGGCAGUGGCGCAGUGGUUAGACCCCAGCCUCUGGAGUCGGCCUCGGUUCAGAUUCUGGUUCUACCCUUCUCCUCUGUGGCGAACCAACCCUCCGAGCUCUAGUUUACUCGUGUGAAAUGGACUAGCCAAAAUUGGGAUUUUUUUUUUUUUUUAGGAUUAGAUGUGUCGGUCCAUAGACGUUGCUGGCCACAUAGUUAAGUGGUGCGUUCACUCACUGGGCAUUGAUGGAGCGCCUACUACGUGCCAGGCCUGUUUUACGCGCCGGGGGCCCAGAGGCGCCCAGGUCAGACAAAGUGUAAACGAUUCCGACCAGAGCCCUUCAAUCUGCAUUCCGCUUCGCAGGAAACUCUCCUCCUUUUAUGAUUUUCAGCCGGACUGCCUUCCCUGUUGUUAGUUUGUAACUUUCGCUCCGGCCCCCGCAGCCUCGCGCCUGCCUUCCCUCCACUGUCCUCAGCCAAGGUGUAGUAAAGCGUCUCCGAACGCGGCGCGACCCUCGCCCACGCCCGCUCGCGGGGGGACCGCACCGCCCCAGGGGUCCUCGCUAGGGGUUCCCGGAGAAGGGGUGGGAGAUGGGGGUGCGGGGGGGCACAGGAGCGCGGGCCAGCACCCAGACCUGCUCGGUACCGGGGACCCAGACCCGAGGAUGCCGGGCGGCCAAGGCCCCGCUACCCUGGCCGGCUCCGGGCGGAGGAAGAAGAGGAGGCGCCCAGACUGGAUACCCGCCUGGACCCGGAGCCGCGGCACCACCCCCAGCCCGCCC
rnacentral:lncRNA from 1 species